rnacentral:rRNA from 1 species
AUUGAACGCUGGCGGCAGGCCUAACACAUGCAAGUCGAGCGGAGCGGCGGACGGGUGAGUAAUGCCUAGGAAUCUGCCUGGUAGUGGGGGAUAACGUCCGGAAACGGGCGCUCAUACCGCAUACUAUCAGAUGAGCCUAGGUCGGAUUAGCUAGUGGGUGGGGUAAAGGCCUACCAAGGCGACGAUCCGUAACUGGUCUGAGAGGAUGAUCAGUCACAAUGGAACGGGGGAACGGUCCAGACUCCUAAGGGAGUAAGACGUGGGGAAUAUGGGAAAAUGGGCGAAAGCCGUAUCCAGCCAGGCCGCGUGUGGGAAGCAGGUUUUCGGAUUGUAAAGUACUUUAAGUUGGGAGGCGUUACCAACAGAAUAAGCACCGGCUAACUUCGUGCCAGCAGCGGCGGUAAUAC